UUACGGCCAUAUCACUUUGAAACACCGUUUUCUGUACGAUCAUCGAAGUUAAGCAACGUUGAGCCCGGUCAGUACCUAGAUGAAUUACCACUUUGGAAAUACCGGCUGUUGG